UUUCUGCAGUCUGGUUUUAAAUUUGGUCGUGUGUAGUGGAAUACGUAGCAAUGAGAAUAGCAUCGGUUUUGUUCAUAAUCCUUGCAGUAAUGAUAGAAUUAGUGCGCAGUGCGAAUAUUCGCGCGAAACGCAGCGCCGAGUCCCUGAUUGGCUCUACCAACCUUGGCGCAACGACCACCUUUGGCGAGCAAGGGGUGGCAGACUGUUUGGCGCUGGGCAAUCCUCCUUGGAAGUGUUACACAGAACAGACUGGUAUCAACCCUAACUGGUGACAAGAAGGAACAACAAACACGCGCAACUUAGCAUUUUUUGUAUAUUUAUAGUUUUAUUAAUAACUGUGGAUCUAUUUUGUAGUGAUUUUCGUGCUAUCUGCUGAAAAUGUAAUAGAAAUCUUGGCUAUGGCAACAAUACCAUGGGGAGAGUUAUGGAGUGGGAUAGAGCAAAUGUGGGGUUUGUCGUACCUAAUAACUAAACUCGACCUUACAAAGAAACUAAUAAUGCGUUUAUGAUGAUAAUAUUAUUUUUGUUUUUCUUAUUUAUUUUAAUAAUAU